UCCUUUGUGGUGUAGUUGGUAGUACACCAGUCUACCACGCUGGUAGUCCCCGGUUCGAGCACGGGCAAAAUUC